UUUCAGGAUUCCUGAUUGUCACGCACAUCUCGCUGGGGCCUCCAAAUGAAAGAAACUAGUGGGGAAACCCACACUCAACUCCCGAUUCAGUGUGCACCCAAGAAUCACGAACAAACAG
rnacentral:pre_miRNA from 7 species